GGCACGACUGCUCGUCUGCACGGCUUCUUCUCGUAGUUCUUCUUUCCGCUUCCCCACGGUAAAAGCGACCAGGCUCACCAGAGCGCCCAGUAACAAAGACAAGACGACCAAGCCGAGCAACUCCAUCUCUCUCUGCCACUUGCUAAACGCCAAAGGCGCGUUGUCGCCAAUUGCAGGCUUGGUGUCGAACUGCAUUGCAGUCAUCCAAGCUGAACAUAGACCGCUCUGAUGGUGCGCUUCCGCUAUGGAGACAAAGUCAGAGAGGCGAUAUUGAGAUGGCUUGGACAUGUGCAGAGGAGGGAACAUAGGGAGAAGGAUGCUGAGGAUGGAGCCACCAGGCAGAAGAGAGGCCAGAUAUACACAGAUAGUGCCAUCCUAUAAGCUAAUGAUUCAGAGUAAUGCUUAAAAUAGUAGUUGAUGCAAACUAAAUGCACAUAAACAGAUGAUUACUAUUCAGUGCUUGGCAUUGAAUAGGGAGGUUUAAAAACAAUACAAAAUGAGCUUUUGGUCACAAUCUGCAUCUUGGUUUGUUUGGAGUCGUUUUAAUGAAGUCCUCUGAGGAUUUCACUCAAAAUGAAGCAACUAAAAUCUCUAGCAGUGGAUAUGGCCCACUGGCUGCUUGCUUGUAAGUUAUUUAUUGGGGCUGUUCAGUGUCUUUAAUAAAAAGGAAUGCACCCCCUCGGA